rnacentral:lncRNA from 1 species
UUAAACUUGUAAUUCAUGGGCGCUUCUGAGACCAUGCUCGUUUUCUUCCACAAGUCUUCAGGUGGCAGAAAAAAAGCUACCUGCAGCGUCAGUCUGUAACCACGCCCACUCGAAUGACAUCACUCACAGGCCACGCCCCACGCACCUGUCCGCUUGGUUUUGCUAGAGCGAAGGGAGCCGAGUGAGUUUGUUCUGCAUCUUUUUACGAUUAAUUUUAGUUUUCCUUUAUUUGAAUGUAGAUAAAAUUGAACUCAUGUGAUUAUGUAGUCUAACUCUCUCAGAGGAAAGGAAACGUAUAUUCGUUGGGAGCUAAAUUGCAUUUUAAUGUAAGCCUUACUUUUCCAACGCUAAUCUUAUUUUUAACAAGCCACUUGUGUGACACAGCGUGUGUAUUUCUUUUUCAUCGAAGAAAAGCUCUGUUGUAGUGUUAAAGACUGCUGUAUUGACAAUGAAAACGUCGCUUUCCAUUUUUUUCUUGAUCUAAAUCUUUCUCAAACAUUUCGUGAACUUUGUUCACAAAAUCAAGCUUCUGCAUUUUUCCAAACCCAAAGUAGCCUUUCUAGAAUUGUAAAGUUUUUUCAUUGUUUUCCAGUGUAUGUUGUGUGCUUGCGUUCCUAUAUUUGAGGUAAAAUUUUUGGAUUGCAAAUAGUUUUAAGUUUAAAUGGUCUUUAAAUUCUGUAUUCUGCAGUUUUUGUGUUUUCAGUUUGGUGUCUUCGGGUAGGACAUGAUUCGCACUAAAUAAACGUAUAAACGUGAGUAUAAACAUUUUAUUAUUUUCUUUACACUUAUCUUAUUGAAAUGUAUUCUGCGCUAUGUACCCUGGUGAAAACGCCGCUCUCUACUUAAGAAAUCUUGGUUUAUAUUACCUUUAAAUUAUCGUCUAAAUACAUCUGUUCAUUUGUUUCCAGUUUAGUGUCUUCGGGCAGGACAUGCUUGGCUCAGGUCCUGGAAUUAUCUAUGAAAUGCAACAACGUUUGUCUUCAUUCUGGUCGCUGUCUCGACAGAUGCCUUGGAGAACCAGUAACGUGCUGUAUGUUUCUGCGUUUUACCAUGUAGUUGCUUGCAAAUCUUUUCAUACUCCGUUUACUUGUAACAGUAUAUAGUGUUAAUGUAGCCGUGUUUUGAGAUUUUGUCAUUUAAAAACGAUAAUUUUCACUUCAAAGCCUUUGUAUGUGUCGUACUGGAAUGCUUUGUUUUGCAUGCACGUUUAGCUCAAUAAAUGGUUAAUUGACGUUUGUG